rnacentral:rRNA from 1 species
UACAGAGGGGGCAAGCGUUGUUCGGAAUUACUGGGCGUAAAGGGCUCGUAGGUGGCCAACUAAGUCAGACGUGAAAUCCCCUCGGCUUAACCGGGGAACUGCAUCUGAUACUGGAUGGCUUGAGUUUGGGAGAGGGACGCGGAAUUCCAGGUGUAGCGGUGAAAUGCGUAGAUAUCUGGAGGAACACCGGUGGCGAAGGCGGCGUCCUGGACCAACACUGACACUGAGGAGCGAAAGCCAGGGGAGCAAACGGG